UUUUUAAAAAUUCUUUUCUUUAAAAAAAUAAAAUUUUAAAAUAUAAAAAAUCUUAAAAAAUUAUUUUAUUUAAAUACCUUUUGUAUAAGGAAAAAUUGAUUAAAAAAUUUAAAAAUAAUUUAUCUCGAAAAUUAUUAAAAUAAAAAAAGUUAAAUUGUAGAAAUUAUAUUUUUUAUUUAUGAUAUAUAAAGCAAUAAUUAAACUAGUUAUUUUCAAAAAAAAAAUUAGUGAAGCUAAAAUAUAAAACUUUUUAUUUUUAAAUAAAAAAGAGUUUCAAAUUAAUUUUUUAUUAUAAAAAAAAAACAAUUUUUUAAGUUUUAAAAAAAAAUAAAAAAUUUAAAUUUAUUAAAAUAAUUUUAUUAGUAGAAAAAUAUAAUAUUUUUUUUUAAAAAAAAAUGAAUUUUUAAAAAAUAAUUUUAUUUUAAAUUAAAUUUUUUAAUUUUUAACAAAAUAUCAUCAAUAAUAUUUUAUUGUAAAUUCUGCUCAAUGAAAAUUUAAAUAGCCGAUUAAUCGCUAAGGUAGCACAAUCACUUGUUUUUUAAUUAAAAACUUGAAUGAAAGGAUAAAAAAAAAUUUAAAUUAAAAAUUAUUUUAAAAUUAAAAUUUUAAUAUUAAUGAAAAUAUUAAUAACUUUUUUUAGACGGAAAGACCCUAUGAAUCUUACUUUUAUAAAAGUUUUUUGGGAUAAAAUUUAAUUUAAAUAUUUAAUUAAUUUAAUGAAAAGAACUUUUUAAAAGAAUAAAUAAAAAGAUACUCUAGGGUUAACAGGAUAAAAUUUAAUUAAAGAACAAAUUUAUUAAAAAAUUAUUACCUCGAUGUUGGUUUUAUAAAACUAAAAAUUGCAAUAGAUUUUUUUAGUUAGUCUGUUCGACUAUAAAAAUAUAACUUGAACUGAGUUCAAAUCGGUGAAAACCAGAUUGGAUCUUAUCUAAAAAAAAUUGUUUUUAAAAUAGUACGAAAGGAAAAUUUAAAAUAUAAAUUAU
rnacentral:rRNA from 1 species